UACGUAGGGUGCAAGCGUUAAUCGGAAUUACUGGGCGUAAAGCGUGCGCAGGCGGUGAUGUAAGACAGUUGUGAAAUCCCCAGGCUCAACUUGGGAACUGCAUCCGAUACUGGAUGGCUUGAAUUCGGGAGAGGGGCGUGGAAUUCCGGGUGAGUGGUGAAAUGCGUAGAGAUCCGGAGGAACCCCAGAGGCGAAGGCGGCGCCCUGGCUCGCAACUGACGCUCAGACACGACAGCAUGGGGAGCGAACGGGG
rnacentral:rRNA from 1 species